rnacentral:lncRNA from 1 species
CGAUACAAUGAUGAAAACAUAGUUCAGCAGACUAACAGUGAUGAGCAAAUACUGUCUUUCGCUCCUAUCUGAUGUAUCUGGCUACAACAAUUCUGUUUUAUACCUUUGAAAGUGGAAAUUAGUCAUAUUAGUCUUUGUCUCACUGAAAUGUUCAGGAUUUGGAUAAGUAUAAUGUAAGUGUCCUAUAUAGUUAAUUUCAGGAUUAGGAGUUAACAUUUUGAUAAGAACAGGCUAAAACUGAGGAAAUUUCCAUGUCAUAACUGUAGACAACACCAGAAUGAGUAGUUGAUGUAAAUGAUAUCAACCAAAAAACCGUUCCAUUUUGAUUCUGAGGUUACUUUAGCAACAAGUAUCAC